rnacentral:lncRNA from 1 species
CUUUGUUGGUGUAUAUGGGGUGUGUACAUGAACACACAUUUAAACUGGUAUCUUUGCUUCUUGUUUUGCUAAGCUGUCAUAGAGUAUGUGCCACAUGAAUGCUUGGAGAUAGGGAGGUCCAGAAUGAGAAAAUCCUGUAAACCAAAUGGGUCUGUUGCCUGAAGAAUUUCUACACGUGUAUAAAUGGCCAGGAGUGAGAAAUAUCGCUGUAGAACAGAAGCUGUGAGACUGAGCUGAACCAGUGCUUCUUUAUUACAUCCUAAGACAGCGUAUUGUCCAUCAACACAUGCAGUGAAUAGCUGUAAAUCUCAGAUAUGGAAUACAUCUGUGCAAUUGAAACUGGCUCUAGCUUUGUUGAUAUUAGCCUGAUGGAUAGAAAUUCAGAUGAAAGCUUCAUGCAUUCAUGGGCAUGCCAGGAAAAGCUUCACUAUUUAAACAUUGAAUGAAAUGGGUUGCUGCUAGCAGAGACAGAGCAGCUCGGCUAGCGUGGAAAAAUGUUGGCAAGAUGUGGGGACAGAAUUGGGUGUGAUUGUCACAACCAUCUGUCAUAUGCUACAUCUUACUUACUGGGCACCUUUAUAAUCUAUUUGUCCAGCUGUUAAAUGGGACACAGAAAAACCAUCUCAUCCUAUAGGGUAUGUUUUAUUUCCCUCCUUUGAAAGCACAAGCAGGUUCCUGUUCCAAGGGAUAUAAAUAUUUGAUCAUUUCCCCCUGGUUAAAGAGACAGCGUUUCAUUCCUCUGUUACCGCUUCCCUAUGAAGGCGCAAUCUGAUGUCUGCUUACCAAAUAGAGCAUUGGGCUGUAGUCUUGCACACCCGAAGGGCUGCAGCCUAACUGGCCACCGUAGUAGGAUAUGCAGUGGCAUUCUGGAUUCAGAUGAGAGGUUCCUGCUGCAACAGAAUGAUUAUCAAAUUAGUACAAAAAACAGUAUGGUCUGAUUUAGAUUACAUGAUUUAGCUACCCUUUUCUGAGGAAACAAAGAGCAAGCAUGAAGUACACAGGAGUUCCACCUGCUGCUGAGACCUCUUUCAAGGUUCUUACGGCUUGACUUUUAAAACAGCAUUGAAAUUCUGAUGAUGAUAUCCAAUCCUGUAAUUUGGAGGGCUCAAAAUCACUUCUAAGUACUAUAGAACUUCAGGUAGAGACAAGUAACUUGUUGUCUUCCUUCUCUCCAAAACAGUUUAUAAAUGUCCAAUAGUAGAAUAGCCAAUUUUCAGUGAAACAAUUGAUUUCUUUAUUGAAACUUAAAAAAAAAACAAGUCUGAAAUUUGUUUGCUACUGAAUUUUUAGUCUGAAUUUUGUCACCAUGUUACAAGCC